rnacentral:rRNA from 1 species
CAGCAGCCGCGGGAAUACAGAGGGUGCAAGCGUUAAUCGGAAUUACUGGGCGUAAAGCGCGCGUAGGUGGUUCGCCAAGUUGGAUGUGAAAUCCCCGGGCUCAACCUGGGAACUGCAUCCAAAACUGGCGAGCUAGAGUAUGGUAGAGGGUGGUGGAAUUUCCUGUGUAGCGGUGAAAUGCGUAGAUAUAGGAAGGAACAUCAGUGGCGAAGGCGACCACCUGGACUGAUACUGACACUGAGGUGCGAAAGCGUGGGGAGCAAACAGGAUUAGAUACCCCUGUAGUCCCUGUCUCUUAUAC